AUUGAACGCUGGCGGCAGGCCUAACACAUGCAAGUCGAACGAGUGGCGGACGGGUGAGUAAUGUCUGGGAAACUGCCUCAUGGAGGGGGAUAACUACUGGAAACGGUAGCUAAUACCGCAUACUAUCGGAUGUGCCCAUAUGGGAUUAGCUAGUUGGUGGGGUAACGGCUCACCUAGGCGACGAUCCCUAGCUGGUCUGAGAGGAGGACCAGCCAAACUGGAACUGAGAAACGGUCCAGACCCCUACGGGAGGAAGCAGUGGGGAAUAUUGGACAAUGGGCGCAAGUCUGAUGCAGCCAUGCCGCGUGUAUGAAGAAGGCGUUCGGGUUGUAAAGUACUUUCAGCGGGGAGGCGGUACCUGCAGAAGAAGCACCGGCUAACUACGUGCCAGCAGCCGCGGUAAUUC
rnacentral:rRNA from 1 species